AAAUUUCACCCUUCCAGUUUCUCCCGCUCGCGGCUUCCAAAUUCCGCAUCGACCAGCUCUAAGCUCCACCGUUUUCCAUGGCAUCGGAAUUCCUGUUACCUACAUCUGUUCAAUAUCAGGCACUUCUCUGAUGCGUCCUCGCCGCCGCCCUCUCCCGACGUUUCUUCUCAAAAUGCAGAGCUGCAAAGUCCGCAUUGUCCUGAGAAAAUAGUCAGAUAAGCUACGGGUACCUUGUCUGUGAAUCAACUCGAGCUUUCCAGAUUCUCCGCCAUUUCCGAAACCUAGUGGGAAUCCGAAGGGCCAUUUAAGCCAUUCCAUGUGAUGAACCCUACGAGAGUCUCACUUAUCAGAUUCAGUCUUUUCUGGCAUUUUAAGUGAAGAGAUGGCUGGAUUUGUGUGCAAUCCCUUAACCGGGCAAUGGUCCCUUUCAGAUGAUACCAGUGUAGAUUACAUCGCGUUUGGUUCAAAAAUCAGCCAGCAAACGAACUAACAAAGACGUAGCUGCUCGGGAUUCGGAUAACGCUUCAUCGGGGCCGUUGAUUCAUCAAGUUGAUCAUGUUUCCAUCACAAAGAUCGGCCAAUCACAGUUGCUCGUAGGUGGCAUUGGGUGAGGUAUAGUAACAUUGAAUCAUUAUAUGAAAAUUAACAUGAAAAUAAAUAUCAAUAAUAAAUUUUUAUGAAUUAUCUAAUGGUUUGGAAUUUAUUGAUCAAGGCCCGUGGUUUCCUCAGAACUAUUUGUCAAUACCAAUUAUCUUAUUAAUUUUUCAAUAUUGAGAUUUUGGUCUUUUAAGUUAUUGUCUGGAAAAUACGUGUUGGACUUGCUUGUACCAUAAUAUAACAUUCUUUGCCUAAAUUUCGUAGGUAGAAAGCAAUUUCCUAAUUCUAAUUAUUUCAUAUGCCAGACUUUUUAUAUAAAUAAAACUUUGGAGAAUUUUGUAUAAUUCAUCUUUAUCAAUGUCAUUUUUAAUGUCUUGAAUUCUUGUUAUCACAUAUUUUAAGUCUGGUUCAAAUUUGAUUUACUUCUUAUUGUUGGUUGGUCAUUUAUUCAAUUUAAAAUUCUAUCUCUUCUGAUGUUAGUUUGAUUUGAUUUUUUUUGAUCGGCCUACGUGUCUUUUGGAGCUUUUGUUCAGAAGUGUAUUUGAACAAUUGUAGUAAGGAUCUGCGAUCUUUUGUUCUAACCAGUUGAGCUAUCUUAACCACCUUUGUUCUAAUGAGG